AUUGAACGCUGGCGGCAUGCCUUACACAUGCAAGUCGAACGGCAGCGGACCUUCGGGUGCCGGCGAGUGGCGAACGGGUGAGUAAUGCAUCGGAACGUACCUUUCAGUGGGGGAUAACGUAGCGAAAGUUACGCUAAUACCGCAUAUUCUGUGAGCAGGAAAGCAGGGGAUCGCAAGACCUUGCGCUGAUUGAGCGGCCGAUGUCAGAUUAGCUAGUUGGUGAGGUAAAGGCUCACCAAGGCGACGAUCUGUAGCGGGUCUGAGAGGAUGAUCCGCCCCACUGGAACUGAGACACGGUCCAGAUUCCUACGGGAGGCAGCAGUGGGGAAUUUUGUACAAUGGGGGCAACCCUGAUCCAGCCAUGCCGCGUGAGUGAAGAAGGCCUUCGGGUUGUAAAGCUCUUUCGGCCGGGAAGAAAUCGCACGGGCUAAUACCCUGUGUGGAUGACGGUACCGGAAUAAGAAGCACCGGCUAACUACGUGCCAGCCGCCGCCGUAAAAC
rnacentral:rRNA from 1 species